GUAAUCCUCCCUCUGUCCGGAAAUACUUGUCGUAGGAAUGGAUGUAUCUAGAUGUAUUUUAGUUCUAGAUACAUUUAUUUGUAUCAUUUUUGUCACAAGUAAUUCCGGACGGAGGGAGUAUCUC
rfam:Hordeum vulgare subsp. vulgare, WGS project CAJW01000000 data, contig: morex_contig_1560235